rnacentral:rRNA from 1 species
UACGUAGGGUGCAAGCGUUGUCCGGAAUUAUUGGGCGUAAAGAGCUCGUAGGCGGUUUGUCGCGUCUGCUGUGAAAACUCGAGCUCAACCUCGAGACGCCGGUGGAAACCAUCAGACUAGAGUCCGGAAGAGGAGAGUGGAAUUCCUGGUGUAGCGGUGAAAUGCGCAGAUAUCAGGAGGAACACCGAUGGCGAAGGCAGGUCUCUGGGCCACUACUGACGCUGAGAAGCGAAAGCAUGGGGAGCGAACAGG